rnacentral:rRNA from 1 species
GUGUCAGCAGCCGCGGUAAUACGGAGGAUCCGAGCGUUAUCCGGAUUUAUUGGGUUUAAAGGGUGCGUAGGCGGACUAGUAAGUCAGCUGUGAAAGUUAGUGGCUCAACCACUAAAUUGCAGUUGAAACUGUUGGUCUUGAGUAUACAUGAGGUGAGCGGAAUUUGUGGUGUAGCGGUGAAAUGCAUAGAUAUCACAAGGAACUCCAAUUGCGAAGGCAGCUCACUGGGGUAUAACUGACGCUGAGGCACGAAGGUGCGGGUAUCAAACAGGAUUAGAUACCCUGGUAGUCCGCACAGUAAACGAUGAAUACUCGCUGUUUGCGAUAUACAGUAAGCGGCCAAGCGAAAGCAUUAAGUAUUCCACCUGGGGAGUACGCCGGCAACGGUGAA